rnacentral:tRNA from 1 species
GUUAAUGUAGCUUAUACUAAAGCAAAGCACUGAAAAUGCUUAGAUGGAUGUUCUUAUCAUCCCAUAAACA